CCUACGGGCGGCAGCAGUGGGGAAUAUUGCGCAAUGGGCGAAAGCCUGACGCAGCGAAGCCGCGUGAAGGACGAAGGCCUUCGGGUAGUAAAGUUCUUUUGACAGGGAAGAAAAUGCCUAUAAGUAACUGUGUAUGUAUUGACGGUACCUGUAUAAGCAGCCCCGGCUAACUCCGUGCCAGCAGCCGCGGUAAUACGGAGGGGGCGAGCGUUGUUCGGAGUGACUGGGCGUAAAGAGCACGUAGGCGGUGUUGUAAGUCAUUAGUCAAAGACUAGAGCUCAACUUUAGUAAGGCUAGUGAUACUAUAAUACUAGAGUAUCAGAGAGGAUUGCGGAAUUCCUGGUGUAGCGGUGAAAUGCGUAGAUAUCAGGAGGAAUACCGUUCGCGAAGGCGGCAAUCUGGCUGGAAACUGACGCUGAGGUGCGAAAGCGUGGGUAGCAAACAGGAUUAGAUACCCUAGUAGUC
rnacentral:rRNA from 1 species